rnacentral:rRNA from 1 species
CCUACGGGAGGCAGCAGUAAGGAAUAUUGGUCAAUGGGCGCAAGCCUGAACCAGCCAUGCCGCGUGCAGGAAGACGGCCCUAUGGGUUGUAAACUGCUUUUGAACAAGAGAAAACCUCGGUACGUGUACCGAGCUGAUAGUAUUGUUAGAAUAAGCAUCGGCUAACUUCGUGCCAGCAGCCGCGGUAAGACGAAGGAUGCAAGCGUUAUCCGGAUUCAUUGGGUUUAAAGGGUGCGUAGGCGGCCUGAUAAGUCAGUGGUGAAAUCUCUCAGCUUAACUGAGAAACUGCCAUUGAUACUGUCGGGCUUGAGUACAGAUGAUGUGGGCGGAAUAUGACCAUGUAGUGGUGAAAUACUUAGAUAUGUCAUAGAACACCGAUUGCGAAGGCAGCUCACAAAACUGUAACUGACGCUGAGGCACGAAAGUUGCGGGGAUCAAACAGGAUUAGAUACCCUGGUAGUCCGCACCGUAAACGAUGAUUACUCGUUGUUGGNAUAUAGACGUCGACGACGACCGACGACGAACGACGUAAGUAAGUAAGUUACGUUACCGUACGGGUUAGGUUACGGUACCGGCGACGGUUACGGAACGACGAACGAGUUAGACGGACGNGAGACGCGCGACGGACGACGACGACGGAGGUUA